rnacentral:snRNA from 1 species
UUGCUUGCUUCAGCAGCACAUAUUCUAAAAUUGGAACAAUACAGAGAAGAUUAGCACGGCCCCUGUGCAAGGAUGACAUACAAAUUCAUGAAGUGUUCCAUAUUUUU